rnacentral:rRNA from 1 species
AUUGAACGCUGGCGGCAUGCCUUACACAUGCAAGUCGAACGGUAACGCGGGGCAACCUGGCGACGAGUGGCGAACGGGUGAGUAAUACAUCGGAACGUGCCCAGUAGUGGGGGAUAGCCCGGCGAAAGCCGGAUUAAUACCGCAUACGACCUACGGGAGAAAGCGGGGGAUCGCAAGACCUCGCGCUAUUGGAGCGGCCGAUGUCAGAUUAGGGAGUUGGUGGGGUAAAGGCCUACCAAGCCUACGAUCUGUAGCUGGUCUGGGAGGACGACCAGCCACACUGGGACUGAGACACGGCCCAGACUCCUACGGGAGGCAGCAGUGGGGAAUUUUGGACAAUGGGCGCAAGCCUGAUCCAGCCAUGCCGCGUGCGGGAAGAAGGCCUUCGGGUUGUAAACCGCUUUUGUCAGGGAAGAAAUCUUCUGGGCUAAUACCCCGGGAGGAUGACGGUACCUGAAGAAUAAGCACCGGCUAACUACGUGCCAGCAGCCGCCGUAACAC